rnacentral:misc_RNA from 1 species
AAAGUCGUAACAAGGUUUCCGUAGGUGAACCUGCGGAAGGAUCAUUAACUUAAUACCCUCUCACGAGGAGGUCCAAACCUUAUGUGAACCAUAUAAAUCUUUUGCUUCGGCAGCAGGUUUCAGCUGCAAGGCUGUAGCCGUCAGCCUGCCGGCAGCGCCAAACAAACCUGAACUUAAAAAACCAGUCUGAAACUUGAUUCAUUUACGAAUGGAAAAAUCAAAACUUUCAACAACGGAUCUCUUGGUUCUC